GAGAUUGCUGCUCCACGCGUCACUCCGGGCAGCAUCAAGUCCGUCGCGGCCCUUGGAGCGUGCUGUGGAUCGGGCAGGAUCAAGUAGGUCGCGGCCCUUGGAGCGUGCUGUGGAUCGCGAUUUCCUCCCGUGGGUAAGCAAAUCCACUCCCAAAUCGUUGCUGUUGGCUGGGAUUCGAGCUUAAUCGUGUCGUGAUCCAGCUUGGUUUUGUUUUGUAUGUUUUUCUAGGGUUUUUGAGACGGCGAGAGAGCCCCUGCUGCUGCUGCUGAUUCACGAUCCAAAUCGGAGGCGCUCUAUCAAUGCUGGUGUCUUUGCUCCUGAGAACCCCAUCGUAAGUUGUUAUUUGUGAGGAGUUCCAUCAAAGCAAGGUAUUUGUGGUGCAUAGAAUUGAGCUAGAAAAAAUGUAAGUCUUGCGAGAAGACACUGUAUAAGGUAACACACGUCAAUCUGCUCUUUUUUGGCAUCACCCGAUUGCAUCGAAAAGGUUAGUUUUUAUGCUGUCCAUAACCCUCAGUAAAUAUCUUUUCCUUUCUAUCUGCCCUAAUAUCUGAUCUCCAUUUCCAAAAGAAACUGUUGAAAAUAAUGUCACGCCUUCGACAUGUACUGAAUGCUAUUCGACACAGACAUACACAUCCCACGUACAAUGAUAAUGUUGAAGCCACUAACCAGCACCAGCAUACAUAUAGCUUUUACAACACUAAUAUUCAAG
rnacentral:lncRNA from 1 species